rnacentral:rRNA from 1 species
UACGGGAGGCAGCAGUGGGGAAUCUUGCACAAUGGGCGAAAGCCUGAUGCAGCGACGCCGCGUGCGGGAUGAAGGCCUUCGGGUUGUAAACCGCUUUCAGCAGGGACGAGGCGAAAGUGACGGUACCUGCAGAAGAAGCCCCGGCUAACUACGUGCCAGCAGCCGCGGUAAU